UCGGGAAUUUUGCGCAAUGGGGGAAACCCUGACGCAGCAACGCCGCGUGAAGGAUGAAGUCCUUCGGGAUGUAAACUUCGAAAGUAUAGGAAGAAUAAAUGACGGUACUAUACAUAAGCUCCGGCUAACUACGUGCCAGCAGCCGCGGUAAUACGUAGGGGGCAAGCGUUGUUCGGAUUUACUGGGCGUAAAGGGUGCGUAGGCGGCGUGGCAAGUCACUUGUGAAAUCUCCGGGCUUAACUCGGAACUGCCAAGUGAUACUGCUGUGCUAGAGUGCAGGAAGGGCAAUCGGAAUUCUUGGUGUAGCGGUGAAAUGCGUAGAUAUCAAGAGGAACACCUGAGGCGAAGGCGGGUUGCUAGACUGACACUGACGCUGAGGCACGAAAGCUAGGGGAGCGAACGGGAUUAGAUACCCCCGUAGUCC
rnacentral:rRNA from 1 species